UAGGGAAUCUUCCGCAAUGGACGAAAGUCUGACGGAGCAACGCCGCGUGAGUGAUGAAGGUUUUCGGAUCGUAAAACUCUGUUGUUAGGGAAGAACAAGUACAAGAGUAACUGCUUGUACCUUGACGGUACCUAACCAGAAAGCCACGGCUAACUACGUGCCAGCAGCCGCGGUAAUACGUAGGUGGCAAGCGUUGUCCGGAAUUAUUGGGCGUAAAGCGCGCGCAGGCGGUCCUUUAAGUCUGAUGUGAAAGCCCACGGCUCAACCGUGGAGGGUCAUUGGAAACUGGGGGACUUGAGUGCAGAAGAGAAGAGUGGAAUUCCACGUGUAGCGGUGAAAUGCGUAGAGAUGUGGAGGAACACCAGUGGCGAAGGCGACUCUUUGGUCUGUAACUGACGCUGAGGCGCGAAAGCGUGGGGAGCAAACA
rnacentral:rRNA from 1 species